UAGGUUAAAAAUAUUUGUGCCCAUGCUUGCCCAAAUUUAACUCGGGUUCAUAAAAUUUAUAUCGAAGUUUGCCCAAAGUUUUGAAAUACGUUGCCCAUGUCCGCCCAACGUUCGAGUUGGCCAUUGAUUGGGUGGGUUGACCCAACCUGUAAGGACCCUCAAACUCGUCAACACUAUUUGACUGGUCUAGCAAUGACCAAGAGAAGUUUUAGCCGCUGAUGACACGAUUAGUUGACAUAGAUUUUAAUCAAUAGAAAUUAAUAUAACAAUAAUUCAGAUUCAAAACUAGUAUCAUUAGAUAUAUCUCUAAAGAUUACGGGAAAUGGACUACUCGAACGCGUCAUUCAGAUACCGAACAAAGAGGAUAUCUUUAGAUAUGUAUGAAGGGCAUUUUAACCAACCUGGCUGCCCUUAUCCUUUUAGUGGUGCUUUAGCAUUUUUAGUCGGCCUUAUCUUCACAACCGAGGAAGAGAAAUUCAUUCUUCUCUUCUUUUCUUCUUUCUUCUUUCUUCUUCCUCUCUUUCUCCUGUUCUUCUCAGCUCAUGUUUCUGUGAGAGGAUUUUGUGUUUUUGAGAUCGGAAACUUAAAGGAAACAAUAGGAAUUGAAUUUUGGUGGUGAUGUUGAUAUUAUUUAAGCCCGGGAGAAGGAGUGGAUGCUGCUGUAAGAUUUGAACUAGGAUUUGAGAAUGAGUUCGAGUUUAUAGGUGAACUGAUGGGUUGAUAGAGCUGUGGAUGGAUGAAGAACUCGAGGGUUUUGGACGAAUUAUUGUAUUGAAGUUGUUCUAAUGAUUAUUUGAAAAUCUAGGGUUUCUGUUCUUCCCCAAAAUUGAGAUUAAGAUUUUAUAGAUGGAGAUUAAGAAGAAUUGAGGAGUGGGUUUAGAUGAUUGAGGAGAAAGAUCAAGUUAAUUAGAUGUUAUGGAGUUGUUCUGUAGAAGAAAUGAAGAAUUAAGAAUUUCGAUUCAAGAAAUGUUGAGAGUGACCAUUUUUUGGUUGGAGCCUAGCCAACACCGUGUAUGUUGCAGCUAGGAGUGGACUACUUGAUCAAUAAUCAAGGUGAAUAAAUGUAAGUAAAUGUUCGUUUCAAGGUAUUUUCUUAUACAUUACAAAGGACUAUUUAGCUAUGAGUUACAAACCACUAUUCAAGUAGGACUAAAACUAAAAAAAAAGGAAUUGGAUACACCGAAAAACAUGCAUUAGUUACAACAUGUGGCUUAUGUUGUCGCUAAUUAGAAUUUUUCAUCACUAAAUGUUUCAUAGGUCCAGUUUCUCCCACAUUAAUUUUUUAAGUUGGUGUGAAUCGCUUGCUUUUUUUUCUUUUCUAUUUCCCACUAAUGUAGACUUUUCAUCUAUGUUUCAAGAAGCAGAGAGUAUGAACAAUAUUGACUCUACUGAUGGUGCCUUAAGGAAAUCAACUUUUUGUGCAGUGGUUUUUUAUUCUUAUUUGUAAACAACACUACAAGAAAAGAGGCCUUUGACAACGGACAUUCGGCAAAGUUUCGCAAAACGUUGCAUUUUUUACCACACGCAUUAUUUGUUUUUAAAGGUGAUUUUGCAUGAUUUCGCUUAUUUAUUUGGAUAUAACUCCGAAGGAAACAUGUUCGGGAUGUGAAGUUGCAUCGAAGCUGCAAGGCAUCUCACAAUUAAUAGUCCAAUGUUUUAGCAAUUUUAUUGAUUUCGGGAUGAUGGUUAACGUAAUGCUAAAAUAUAGACCCUAUGUUUCCACUGUCCAAAUACUUUGGUGAUAAGCUUUUCUUUUCUGCAGUCUCUUUUA